rnacentral:rRNA from 1 species
CGAAGGGGGCGAGCGUUAUUCGGAAUCACUGGGCGUAAAGCGUGCGUAGGCGGUCUUGAAAGUUGGAAGUGAAAGCCCAGGGCUCAACCCUGGAAUUGCUCUCAAAACUACAAGACUAGGAUUCGGGAGAGGAUAGCGGAAUUGUCAGUGUAGCAGUGAAAUGCGUAGAUAUUGACAGGAACACCAGUGGCGCAAGCGGCUAUCUGGACCGACAUCGACGCUGAGGCACGAAAGCGUGGGGAUCAAACAGGAUUAGAUACCCUGGUAGUCCACGCCGUAAACGAUGUGUGUUUGUCGCCGGGGGGUUCACCUUUCGGUGACGCAGCUAACGCGUUAAGCACACCGCCUGGGAAGUACGGCCGCAAGGUUA